rnacentral:rRNA from 1 species
UAACGCGUGGAUAACCUGCCUCACACUGGGGAUAACAGUUAGAAAUGACUGCUAAUACCGCAUAAGCGCACAGUGCCGCAUGGCAGUGUGUGAAAAACUCCGGUGGUGUGAGAUGGAUCCGCGUCUGAUUAGCCAGUUGGCGGGGUAACGGCCCACCAAAGCGACGAUCAGUAGCCGACCUGAGAGGGUGACCGGCCACAUUGGGACUGAGACACGGCCCAA